rnacentral:rRNA from 1 species
ACUAUGCUUGGCCCUAAACCUCAGUAGUUAGAUAACAAAACUACUCGCCAGAAUACUACAAGCUAUAGCUUAAAACUCAAAGGACUUGACGGUGCUUUACACCCCCUAGAGGAGCCUGUUCCGUAAUCGAUAAACCCCGAUCCACCCCACCCUCUCUUGCUCAGCCUAUAUACCGCCAUCUUCAGCAAACCCUAAUGAGGGUCACAAAGUGAGCGCAAAUGCCAUUGCCGCAAACACGUUAGGUCAAGGUGUAGCCUAUGAGACGGUAAAAAAUGGGCUACAUUUUCUACCUCAGAAAAUUCCACGAAAACCCUUAUGAAAUUUAAGGGUCCAAGGAGGAUUUAGCAGUAAAUUAAGAAUAGAGUGCUUAAUUGAACCAGGCCAUAAAGCGCGCACACACCGCCCGUCACUCCUCUCAAAUAUAUUUAAGGAACAUCUUAACUAAACGCCCUAAUAUUUAUAUAGAGAGGAUAAGUCGUAACAUGGUAAGCGUACUGGAAGGUGCGCUUGGAUAAAU